ACGUAGGGUGCAAGCGUUAAUCGGAAUUACUGGGCGUAAAGCGUGCGCAGGCGGCUUUGUAAGACUGCCGUGAAAACCCCGGGCUCAACCUUGGAACUGCCAUUGUGACUGGAAAGCUAGAGUGCGGCAGAGGGGGAUGGAAUUCCGCGUGUAGCAGUGAAAUGCGUAGAUAUGCGGAGGAACACCGAUGGCGAAGGCAGUCCCCUGGGCCUGCACUGACGCUCAUGCACGAAAGCGUGGGGAGCAAACAG
rnacentral:rRNA from 1 species